rnacentral:rRNA from 1 species
AGAGCGAACGCUGGCGGCGUGCUUAACACAUGCAAGUCGAACGCGCAGCAGUUUGUAGCAAUACAGAUUGUGGGCGCGUGGCGAACGGGUGCGUAACACGUGGAUAACCUUCCUUCAGGUGGGGAAUAACCCAGUGAAAAUUGGGCUAAUACCGCAUAACAUGACGAUGCCACAUGGUGUUGUCUUCAAAGGCGCAAGUCGCCAGAAGAGGGAUCCGCGGCCGAUUAGCUAGUUGGCGAGGUAAUGGCUCACCAAGGCAAUGAUCGGUAGCCGGACUGAGAGGUUGGCCGGCCACACUGGAACUGAGACACGGUCCAGACUCCUACGGGAGGCAGCAGUGGGGAAUCUUGCACAAUGGACGAAAGUCUGAUGCAGCAACGCCGCGUGGGGAUGAAGCUUUUCGGAGUGUAAACCCCUUCGACCCGGAAGAAAGCCCGCAAGGGUUUGACGGUACGGUAUAAGAAGCCCGGCUAACUACGUGCCAGCAGCCG